rnacentral:rRNA from 1 species
AACGAACGCUGGCGGAAUGCUUUACACAUGCAAGUCGAACGGCAGCACGGACUUCGGUCUGGUGGCGAGUGGCGAACGGGUGAGUAAUAUAUCGGAACGUAUCCAAUAAUGGGGGAUAACUAGUCGAAAGAUUGGCUAAUACCGCAUACGCCCUACGGGGGAAAGCAGGGGAUCUUCGGACCUUGCGUUAAUGGAGCGGCCGAUAUCUGAUUAGCUAGUUGGUGGGGUAAAGGCCCACCAAGGCGACGAUCAGUAGCUGGUCUGAGAGGACGACCAGCCACACUGGAACUGAGACACGGUCCAGACUCCUACGGGAGGCAGCAGUGGGGAAUUUUGGACAAUGGGCGCAAGCCUGAUCCAGCCAUUCCGCGUGAGUGAAGAAGGCCUUCGGGUUGUAAAGCUCUUUCGCAAGGGAAGAAAACUUAGCCACUAACAUUGGCUGAGGUUGACGGUACCUUGAUAAGAAGCACCGGCUAACUACGUGCCAGCCGCCGCAGUAACAC